UCUUCUAACACUUCUCCUAAUGCUGUGGAUUUAGAAGAGAUCUCAGAUAGCUUUCCUACAAAGGUAUCAAUCAUGUCUCCGUCUUUCAUCUUAAGCCUAUCAAACUCCGCCAUUAACGUUGCAAUCUCGCUUCUCUAACCCUCUCUGCUCCAAGAUUUCGUGCCUUUAUUGCAUCCCAUACGCCUUUUGCCGUGUCCAAGUCGCCAACUUGGAGAAUCAGUGCCUCAGGUAUAGAUUGAAACAAGAAUGCGAUCGCCAUGUUAUUCUUCUUCUCAUCUUUGACUCCAGGAUCAAUUGUUUCCCAAACCUCGCUAACCUUGAGUGCUAUCUUCAUCCUCAUACACCAGCCGGUAUAGUUUGAUGUAGUUAACAUCAGAAACUUUAUAGAGGUUUGCCCAGUCUCUUUGUUUGCCGUAGGUUCUUCUUUAACUUCUGCCAUUGUCGUAUGUGCCUUUUUUCGGACUUUCGAAUGAAUUCUUGUUUGGCUCUGAUACCAAAUAUAGAAUCACAAAGCUAUAUAGAAUCACAAAGCAAUAAUUAAUAAGAAGUCCUUCUCUUAUUCAAUCAAUCAAGCAAAGCUUAAACAACAACUCGAUCAAGCUCUC
rnacentral:lncRNA from 1 species